rnacentral:rRNA from 1 species
AUUGAACGCUGGCGGCAGGCCUAACACAUGCAAGUCGAGCGGAGGAAGGGAGCUUGCUCCUGGAUUCAGCGGCGGACGGGUGAGUAAUGCCUAGGAAUCUGCCUGGUAGUGGGGGAUAACGUCCGGAAACGGGCGCUAAUACCGCAUACGUCCUGAGGGAGAAAGUGGGGGAUCUUCGGACCUCACGCUAUCAGAUGAGCCUAGGUCGGAUUAGCUAGUUGGUGGGGUAAAGGCCUACCAAGGCGACGAUCCGGAACUGGUCUGAGAGGAUGAUCAGUCACACUGGAACUGAGACACGGUCCAGACUCCUACGGGAGGCAGCAGUGGGGAAUAUUGGACAAUGGGCGAAAGCCUGAUCCAGCCAUGCCGCGUGUGUGAAGAAGGUCUUCGGAUUGUAAAGCACUUUAAGUUGGGAGGAAGGGCAGUAAGUUAAUACCUUGCUGUUUUGACGUUACCAACAGAAUAAGCACCGGCUAACUUCGUG